UACGGAGGGUGCAAGCGUUGUUCGGAUUUACUGGGCGUAAAGCGCGCGCAGGUGGGUGAACAAGUCGGAAGUGAAAUCUUGAGGCUCAACCUCGAGGCUGCUCCCGAAACUGUUCGCCUAGGGACUGGUAGAGGCUGGUAGAAUUCCCGGUGUAGCGGUGGAAUGCGUAGAGAUCGGGAAGAAUACCUGUGGCGAAGGCGGCCAGCUGGGCCAGAUCCGACACUGAGGCGCGAAAGCGUGGGGAGCAAACA
rnacentral:rRNA from 1 species